GCGGACGGGUGAGUAACGCGUGAGAAUCUGGCUUCAGGUCUGGGACAACCACUGGAAACGGUGGCUAAUACCGGAUGUGCCGAAAGGUGAAAGGUUAACUGCCUGAAGAUGAGCUCGCGUCUGAUUAGCUAGUAGGUAGUGUAAUGGACUACCUAGGCGACGAUCAGUAGCUGGUCUGAGAGGACGAUCAGCCACACUGGGACUGAGACACGGCCCAGACUCCUACGGGAGGCAGCAGUGGGGAAUUUUCCGCAAUGGGCGAAAGCCUGACGGAGCAAUACCGCGUGAGGGAGGAAGGCUCUUGGGUCGUAAACCUCUUUUCUCAGGGAAGAACACAAUGACGGUACCUGAGGAAUAAGCAUCGGCUAACUCCGUGCCAGCAGCCGCGGUAAUACGGAGGAUGCAAGCGUUAUCCGGAAUGAUUGGGCGUAAAGCGUCCGCAGGUGGCGAUGUAAGUCUGCUGUUAAAGAGUCUAGCUCAACUAGAUAAGAGCAGUGGAAACUACAUAGCUAGAGUACGUUCGGGGCAGAGGGAAUUCCUGGUGUAGCGGUGAAAUGCGUAGAGAUCAGGAAGAACACCAGUGGCGAAGGCGCUCUGCUAGGCCGUAACUGACACUGAGGGACGAAAGCUAGGGGAGCGAAUGGGAUUAGAUACCCCAGUAGUCCUAGCCGUAAACGAUGGAUACUAGGCGUGGCUUGUAUCGACCCGAGCCGUGCCGUAGCUAACGCGUUAAGUAUCCCGCCUGGGGAGUACGCCGGCAACGGUGAAACUCAAAGGAAUUGACGGGGGCCCGCACAAGCGGUGGAGUAUGUGGUUUAAUUCGAUGCAACGCGAAGA
rnacentral:rRNA from 1 species